UACGUAGGGGGCGAGCGUUGUCCGGAGUUACUGGGCGUAAAGCGCACGCAGGCGGUCUGCUAAGUUUGGAGUGACAGUUGGUGGCUUAACUGCCAAAGUGCUUCGAAAACUGACAGACUUGAGGGCUUCAGAGGGACACGGAAUUCCGGGGUGGAGUGGUGAAAUGCGCAGAUAUCAGGAAGAACACCCGUGGCGAAGGCGGUUCUCUGGGACGGUACUGACGCUGAGACGCGAAAGCGUGGGGAGCGAACAGG
rnacentral:rRNA from 1 species